rnacentral:lncRNA from 1 species
AUUAGUUUCUGCCAAUCUUUGCAAUUUGCACAAGGAUAAAAUGGACAGCAUCUGUUAUUGAAUCGAAAUUGAACGAGCCUGGAAAUGGAACAGAAGCCAACUUGUAGAUUUCAGUUCUACUGAUUAUUCAUGCAAGUUUGCUUUUACAUGAACAGGUUGUUGCUGCUACUCUUCCAUCUCGGGGAGCUCCUGGGACACAGGCAGUACUUCCCCCACCUCCAAUUCUGCCUGACCAAAGCAAGCUCCCUGUACAGCUUUUGAGAUUCCAUGUGGGCUCUUUUCAACUUUGUGGGUUCUGGGACUCAGUCAUCUGAAAUCUCCGCACACUGAAAGUUGUUUCUGCUCAUCACUUCUCUGAACCUCUUCUGGUAUUCAUUCAGUAACAGCAAGCCUUCCAUACUGUUCAAUCUCUGAUGGUAAGGUAUUCAGAGACUUUUCUGACUCCUUGAGCAGUACCAAAAGAGUGUAGUGUUGGUGAACUGGCUGACAAGAUCCUGUGCUUUCUUCUGGAACUCCUGUGGCCACUUAUUCUGCACUGUAUCAAUGGGAGACACAUCUGAAGAGCCUCCCUCAACUACUUCUUUCACUAUCUCAGCUAAUCUUCUGCAAAAGCCUACAGUUCAGAGAGGAUAGUUAACUCAAGCUAGGUCUUUUCCAUCUCUUUUUGUGAGGCUGCGGCCACUGCUGUGAGACUGUUCUGGCUCAUUGCCCACCUUUUUCAAUUGAUUUUGAAGUGCAUUUUCUCUCAAUCUGACUGGAGUCAGCUGCAAUGUCUCAGUGGCAGCUACUUUGGACUCUGAAUGAACUCCAGGAACUCACGUUUGUCCUUCUGUUCACAGGUCAAUUCACAGGCACAGCUUUCCUAGCAUAGCACCUAGUCUGGCUCUCCAUCUGUUUAGCAUUCCUGGGGAAGACGACUCCAGAUUUGAAUUUUCUGACUGCAGAAAGUCCUGCAGAUCAUCUUCCAGUUACAUCUGCUAGUGCCACGAACUAGCAACCAUCUGCCUGAAUCUCAGUUCUUUAAUCAUAGCAGCUGCAGCAUGUAGGGGCUUGAGGAGUUGUGAACCCCCUGCUCAUGCAAGCUCCAUGGCUUCUUGAGAUGGGUCUCUGGAACUGACUUUGUCUCUGGGAAUUUGCUUUCAGUUCCCUUCCCCCUUAGGAGCACCGACAAAUUCAAGCUAAUCUCACCUGAGGUCAGGGAACACUGGGUUUGAGUUGUGCUCAUCAUUCA